rnacentral:rRNA from 1 species
AAUGAACGCUGGCGGCGUGCUUUACACAUGCAAGUCGAGCGAGGCCUAUUGGAGAGCUUGCUCUCCGAUAGAGUCGAGCGGCGAACGGGUGAGUAACACGUGGAUAACCUGCCUUUGGAUGGGGGAUAGCCCGGGGAAACUCGGAUUAAUACCGCAUGAUACCGCAAGGUCAAAGAGGGCUUCGGCUCUCGUCUGGAGAGGGGUCCGCGUACGAUUAGCUAGUUGGUAGGGUAAUGGCCUACCAAGGCGACGAUCGUUAGCCGGCCUGAGAGGGUGAUCGGCCACACUGGAACUGAGACACGGUCCAGACUCCUACGGGAGGCAGCAGUGGGGAAUUUUGCGCAAUGGGGGAAACCCUGACGCAGCAACGCCGCGUGGAGGAUGAAGGCCUUUGGGUUGUAAACUCCUGUCAGUGGGGAAGAAAAUCCUAUGGGUUAAUACCCCGUAGGCU